GAACCAAACCAGCUCAGGAGGGAUAUGGUUCCCUUUUCUAAGCAGAGAGGAGAGCUCCAUACAUUUGGAUUUUCUAUCCUACAAGUGACAACGCAGUUUCUAGAGGGGCGAAGGGAGGCCCUUGCUGGCGCCAGAAGCUUCAUUGGCCCUGUCAGCUCGGUGCUCUGUGUUGCUGAGAGGAGGUCAUGAGACUGUCCUCUUGCCGCAGUAACCUGCUGAGCUGAGCAUUCUUCAGUGCUCUUUUAUUUGCAGUUCGGGUGGCAGGUUCACAACCCACAAUCAUUUUAGAUUAGAGCUCUCGUCUCUAUUCUCCAUUUUUGUAUUUAGUGAAGAGGUUUAGGUAAUAAUCUAAAAAUAUUGUUCUUAGGUAUGUUAAUGCAUGCAAAUAUUGCUACAUUGUUGUGGAUAGAUGUUAUGGGAUGUAAGCAUAGCAACUGGAAGAUAGCCAAAAGUCAACAGGGCAAAGCUUUUUUAUGAAGCUGAUAGCUGAACAAACUAUAUGCCCAUAGGGUGGAAAUGGCAAGUGUAAUAAUGGCAAAUACAGUCCUCUCUAACAAAGAUAUUUUAGGUCAGGGAGGAGGAAUCUCUGAAGUUAGGUCAUAUACACUACACAAGUAGCUCUCCACCCAACCAGCAAGCAUCUUUUGUAGUGACCAGAGGAGGAAAAACCACUAUUUAAUAUGGCAAGAAGGAGUGAUGCAAACGUGUUUGGGAAGCCUAGACAAUUGCCAAGGAGAUGGGGAAAGAAAGGUCAGAUACUUUUGCCUUUUUACCCAAAUCUUUUUUGUGUCUGAGAUUUUGCCCAAAUAAUGCUACAAGGGUCACUCAAGAUGUUCCGUAGAUUCUUGGAAUAAUCACGGGUGCCCAAUUCCCAGCAUACACAGUCAUGUAGUAAAAUCAUGUCCCUUAUAUAAAAUGGCAAAAUCAAGACUAGGGCUGGUAAGAGCUGCAGUCCAGUUUCCUUUGGAAGUUAUAUGAUUCCCUACCUCUAACUAUAGGAUCUAACUAACACCAUAAGCUUACAGUACAAUAGUUAAACACCAUCCAAAUAGAUGCAUAAGGAUGGUAACACCAUAAAACAGACCUGUGUCCAUAUCCCCACCAUGGAAACCCACUGAGUAGCCUUCAGCAAGUCAUAUUCUCGCAGCCCUAAAUGACGGGUAAAGGGGCUCUCUCCGAAUAAAUGUUGCCAAGAGAACCCUGUAAGAGGAUCACCUUAGGGCUACUAUUAGUUGAAAAAACUUGAAGAUACACAACAACGUCAAAGACAACACCACCACCCUAAAUUAUGGUGCUGGUCUGUAUGAGGAGGAAGAUAUAAGGAAAGGAACCAACUUUGCCUUUUGUUGUUCCAAAACAGGAGGAAGUAGGAGGCAAAAUAGCAGGUAUCUACACUAACUAUCUGUUGAGAAAGCCAUCUCAACCUACUUUAUAUGUAAACAGCUGGUGAUAAAUAAACAGCUGGUGAUGUUAUAAUGAUCUCAUUAGUGACUAAAGUUUCCUAUCAAGCUAUAGAUCAAAAAGGAAGUGAAGAAACACUUCUGGUGAGUUAGAGUUGUGAGGUAACUGUGUCCCAUUAAUACAUUACCAAUUUCAGAAUCACAAAGCAUUGUGGAACUAAGGACUUUAGAAUCUCUCUUACACUUCAGCAUUUUACUGUAUACAAACCAAUCUCUUAACUGCUAGGAAAGUCAGAUGACAUACCCAUUUGAAAGAGGUUUGCUUGAAAAAAAUAUUUUCCAAAGGAAUAUUUACAUUAACCUGUUUUGGCAAAAUAAAUGAAAUGCCGACGACACAAACACGAACACACACAAAUGUGGACUCUUGAUAGCUUAAAGGCUGACAAACAACACAAGCAAAACAUGGAUGGCUCAGUUCGUAUUCAGUUGAGCAUUCAGCUUUUGGAACUAACUCUCUGAUCUUGGCACCAACAAAAUGCCUGCCAUAGAAGAGGCCACUGAUCUAAUUUUGUGAAGGGUGUUGAAAACAGCUCCAGACCAACAAGAAAUUAUCCAUUGCUUUUCUACCAGGGCUACAUGACAAAAAUGAAACAGGGGGACAAGACUGCUAACAAUGAUCCCAGGAAUUCCCAGAAAUAAGACAUUCCAGUCCUGCCUGAUUUGUGCUUUUUCUAACUUAUCUGUUGCUCCUUAUUAAAAAUUUGAGGAAGGUGGUUAGAAGAACAUAAUGAACAGAUCAUGGCAUCUUCUGGGGCCUCUGUAAACAUUAGUAGUGUCUUGUACAGACAGAACAUAAACGCCAUAAACGCCUCCUUGGAUGUAUCUCAUCCUCACAUUGGAAUAUUUGCCUCUUGUUGUGGGCCUUCAAGUUAUUUCUAAUUUAUGAUGAUCCUAAAGUGAUGCUGUCACAGGUUUUUCUUGGUACAGUUUUUUAAUAAAGGGUUUGUCUUUCUGCC